rnacentral:rRNA from 1 species
AUUGAACGCUGGCGGCAGGCCUAACACAUGCAAGUCGAACGAGUGGCGGACGGGUGAGUAAUGUCUGGGAAACUGCCUGAUGGAAGGGGCUGACUGCUGGAAAAGGUAGCUAAUACCGCAUACCAUCGGAUGUGCCCAGAUGGGAGUAGCUAGUAGGUGGGGUAAAGGCUCACCUAGGCGACGAUCCCUAGCUGGUCUGAGAGGAUGACCAGCCACACUGGAACUGAGACACGGUCCAGACUCCUACGGGAGGCAGCAGUGGGGAAUAUUGCACAAUGGGCGAAAGGCUGAUGCAGCGACGCCGCGUGUAUGAAGAAGGCCUUCGGGUUGUAAAGUACUUUCAGCGGGGAGGCGUUACCCGCAGAAGAAGCACCGGCUAACUCCGUGCCAGCAGCCGCGGUAAUAC